rnacentral:misc_RNA from 1 species
GAUGAAGAACGUAGCGAAAUGCGAUAAGUAAUGUGAAUUGCAGAAUUCAGUGAAUCAUCGAAUCUUUGAACGCACAUUGCGCCCCCCAGUAUUCUGGCGGGCAUGCCAGUUCGAGCGUCAUUUCAACCAUCAAGCCCUGCUUGUGUUGGGGUCCUGCGGCUGCCCGCAGGCCCUGAAAACCAGUGGCGGGCUCGCUAGUCACACCGAGCGCAGUAGCACAUCUCGCUCAGGGCGUGCGGCGGGCUCCAGCCGUUAAAGCACCCACCUUUCGCAAGGUUGACCUCGGAUCAGGUAGGAAUACCCGCUGAACUUAAGCAUAUCAAUAAGCGGAGGA